rnacentral:lncRNA from 1 species
GGUGACCUUCGGAGGAACUGUUCCUGGACUGACUUCAUUUAGGUUCUGUGAACUUGCCAAGUAGCCAGCAACAAAACCCCAGAUUGGCCACUUGACCUCUCUGGUCCCAACUCUCCUAACUUACAAUAUAAUAUGAAGUUUAUUUCCUAUGUGUUUUUACCUUAGUCCCACGUUCUGUGAGACAAUCAAGGCACAAUAUUUUGUACAUCAUUUCAGCCGGCCUGUGUUGGAGGUGGCUCUGGGGUGCCUGUGACAGCAUGUGUCUGUCAGCCUCGGCAGCUGCCUCCCUUCGACAAACUCUAGGUAAAGGAAUCUGUGACGUUUUUAUUCAUCCCUGCAUCCAUGGACCUAAGCACUCAAUUAAUAUUGGAUUGAAUAAAUUACCACCAAUCAGCUCUCUGAUAGCAGCAUUUAAAUCAACACCUGAAGAGUUAAUGUUCUCUGUUUUGGCACCAAACGCCACUGGGGAAAUUCCCACAGAUAAAGCAAGUGGAGUAACCUGCCAAAGGUAAUGAAGAGUGUGGACUCGGGAUAAACAUCCAAAUUUGGAUCCUGAUUCUGCCACUUAUUAGCUUUAUUUAUUUAAGCUGGAGGUAACUCACUUGCCUCACUGGGACAUUUAUUAGAUAGACAUAAUAACACCCACCUCAGAUGCCC